UCGAGUCUUUGAACGCAAGUUGCGCCCGAAGCCAUUAGGCCGAGGGCACGUCUGCCUGGGCGUCA
rnacentral:rRNA from 12 species